ACAAGAAACAGGGUCCAGUCUGCAAUAUUUGUGCAACAUAUAUUCAUACAGAAACAAAUUUGCAUGACUUUAAUAUUCUAGUAUUGUCCCUCUGUACCCAAAAAAAAAAAAGCCCAAUGAUUUUCCUUUGACAUAACUCCAAUUUAAGAAGAAGAGGUCAAGGGUGAAAACCAUCGUAUGGUCGGUACUCUGUUUUCUGUACUCUGUCUUCCAACAGUUUUUCCUGGUGAGUAAGUCCUUUCAUCACUUGGGAUUUGAUAUAAUGCCUAAGAAAAUUGUCAACCGGCUAGGCUACGUGCUUAUACUGUUUGGGGGCAUCCAAAAAUGUGUAUGUUCACUGUGUAGCAAACGAGAGAGCGACUUCAGUUUAUAUGCAAAAGGUUAAGCGCAUUCCUUCUCGAAACAAGUCCCGUCAGUCAGGCCAUGGUAUUCCUUUUUCAAACCAAGGCAAGCAAGAUAAACCCUUUUUCGUGGCAGCCUUUUUCUACGAAAUUUUGAUAGAAACUUGAACACGUUACCAGUUUUGGGCCCAUUCUUCUAACGACUAAAGAGUAACGAGGUUAUUACGACUUUGUCUUUAUUUUUUUCCCUCCAAACAUCUUUACUAGGAAGAACAGAUUCUUGGACCAUAAAAACUCCUCUCCCCAAGGGGGACACAAUUUCUUGCUUACUUCCUUCUUUUUCUUUCUUAAUUUUCUGUUUUAGUAAACUUCGUAUAUCUCAAGUUUGAAUCUUUUGAAGCAAAGAUUGUGUGGGAAUUGAAGAAACCAAAAAGCUUUUUUUUUUCUAUCUUUUUGUGAUUUUUUUUUGGAUAGGUUAAUGGUUUAGUUUGGUUUGUUUCAUUGAGUCUCUGGGGCUUUGUUUCAUUAGUAAUGGCUGAAGAAUCACAAGUUCGGUUUGUUCGUUGCUUUAAGUGUAAAAGUCUGUUACAGGAGCUUCGCGAGUACUCUUUCUACAAGUGUGGCUCUUGUGGUGCUGUUCUUCAAGCAAAGAAGAAAGAGCCGGCUAGUAAUGGGUUUCUGGACAAGCCCAUUGAGGAGAAGGGAAGAGGGGGUUGUGAGGAAGUGGAUAGUCAGUUAGACAAAGGAGGUAGUCUACGUAGUGCUUCUGAGACUGAAAUUUGUGGAGUUGAGGGUAUAAGUAGGAGAAAGGAGAGAACUUUUGGAGAAAAAAGUAUGAAUUUCAACAGUGUGUCAGCAAGAAUAAAUAAGGAGAACGUCUACCUUGGUGAUGAUAAAAAAGUGAGGGAACAUAAGCAUGAGCAUAAUAGAGCUGAGAAAGGAGUUGGAUAUGUUGAUAAUUAUAUGCCAUCGUCAAAGAAUCCAGUGAAUAAUUGGGCUCAAAGGGAUGAUCAGGAUAUGAACAUGAACCGGUCUAAGUCUGUUAACUCAAGUAGAGGGAGCAAAGUUGAAGACUACUCCCCCAAAUUAGCAAACUUUGCUAGGUCCUUGAGGUUGAAGGGUGUUACAGAUAUGCGGGGUGUGGACAGAGAUGGGUUUGGGGGGUUUUACAAGAGGAGCCUGAGAACAAUUGAUGAACAGGAUAGAUUUUCAGUUUACCGUUAUCCUGAUGAGGGACCUUCAAAUUAUAGGUACGGUUCUGCCUAUGGCUACCACAAACCAGUGAAGAGUUUUGGAUACCUAGAUGUGCCUAGUGUGAUAAAAAGUUUUGAUCGGACUCAGCUGCUCAAGGAGCUGGAUGAGUUAAAAGAUCAACUGCUCCAGAGACCCAGGGAUAUGGUUCCUAGUGAUAACAUAAUAGCUUCUAGUGACCCUCUUGGUGGUUCCAUUGGGAACAAGUCUUCUGCUCAUCAUCGUUCUGCACAAUAUCCUCAUGUUUCGGAGUUGACUUAUUUAAAUCAUAGUUCUAUGAAUGAUGAUGAUCAUGUGCAGAACUAUGGAAAAUUCCAUCCAGCUUCCAAGCAUGUUCGUCGCAAGAUACCUGGCUGUGGAGAUUCUCUCUCACCAUGUAUGCACCGAAGAUGGCAUCAGCAAGUAACCCAUUACCACCAUCAGCAUAGGACUUAUGGCUACUCUUCAAGGCAUAACGAAGAUCUUCUUGCAUCAUAUCCAAAUCCAGAUGAAACCUUGUAUCACCUCCCUGCAUGCUCAUGUUUACAUUGCUCUGACAAAAAUUUGAAAGGCCCUUUGCAAGUCCCACCUGAUUUUAGCAAGAGAAGGUUUUUGAAGGACCCUUGCAAUUCCAACUUCAAUCAUUAUGUGAAUUCUGAUGGAGUUCAGCAGCAUUAUCUUCCUAGAACUGCCCAAUGCCCUCUAGUGAACUUUCAAGAUUCACCAGUGCAUGUAUGGCCAAGUGACAUCGAUUCAGAUAUUGAUGGUUUUGGUCGAAGAUGUCCUAGAAGGGUAGUGCUAGCCUGCAGGGAUAAACAAAUUUGUCACCCUAUAGCCAAUGGUGCUCCAUUUAUAACAUGCCAUAAAUGCUUGGCAUUGUUAAAAUUGCCUAGGAAAUUCAGAAAAACGAUGAAGAAUGACCAGCGAUUACGAUGCGGUGCUUGUUCAACUGCGAUUGUAUUUGAAAUGGAGAAGAGACUGAUUAAUUCUGUUCCUGGAAAUCCAAAGCGAAGACCUACUGAGGCUGAACAAAAGUCUUCUGAGUUAUUGAAUGUAGGCCACCUAAGUUCUCAUGGAUGUUUUAAUGCUGGUGCCACUAUCCCCAGCUCCAGAAAUGUUGAACAUUCUGGUUAUGACCAAACAUCUUCUAAGGACGUAGAGAGCCCUGAUAAUGUGAUUGAUUGGAAAGAUUCUCCUGGCUCUCCGGAGCAGCCAUCUAGUUAUGAUGUUUGCCCUGCAGUCUCAAGUUUACCUUUUCAGGACCAAGUCAGCAACCCAUCAUCUAAUCAAGCAGUGAGUGGGAGUAGGAAGGGAAAUAGGACAAAACUAGCACAAGAAGAGAAGGUUAUCCUACUGAAAAAUGCCUCUCAAGUUGUUUCUGAGAAAAAUGCGCCAGUGGCAACUGAGGUGGAAGUUUCUUUCAGUGGAUAUCUUAAUUCAAGUUCAUCUAAAGACACUUUGCAAGCAAGCAAAGAAGAAAACCAAUUGAAACUCCACAAGGGGAGCAAAUCGUUUUUAGUCGGUCUUAUUAAGAAAAGCUUUAGAGAUUGCUCGAGAUCUAAUGACAACAUAAAGAAUGAAAGACCUAAUGUUCUGGUGAAUGGACAAGAUAUGUCUGACUCUGCAGUUAGAAAGGCUGAAAAGCAAGCGGGGCCAAUUCGUCCCUGAAAUUUCUGUUGUGCAACUUAAAAACACAGAAAGGGGAAAACAUAACAAUGAUGAAGAAGAAUGGACGAACAACUUGUUUUCCCAUAGUGGGGAAAGAAAAGCGUGGAUUUGGCAUGCGGCUCCCUGGCGUGGUUUAGUGAAUAAAGAGCUCGUUUGAUUUCUUAAACCUAUUGGAAGCAGGUGCUACAGCUUCCUCUGAUGAUUAAUCCGAAGAAGCAAUUGCUUUUUCCCCAUGCAGCCGUACUGAUAUUUGUUUGAUAAUCCUAUAAAAAACUUGUUUCUAUAUGGUUGGUGUAAAGUCCAAAUCCUUUGUAAUUUGUUGUAUUUGUAACAAGAAAAGUUUCAUUAAAGAUACAUGCUUGUUUGUGCAUUUGGAUCUCUCCUUGGUUUGGCCAGAUGAUAUUUGCCAUGUGUCAUGUGUAGAGUGUCUAUGUUGCACUAAGGAGGAAACCAUCCUUUCUCAAUCAAUGGACAGACCAUGUCUAUGUCAGGUUUAAGCCUUCCCUUUCUUUUCCUCA